rnacentral:rRNA from 1 species
AAUCCAUAGGUUAAUGAGGCGAACCGGGGGAACUGAAACAUCUAAGUACCCCGAGGAAAAGAAAUCAACCGAGAUUCCCCCAGUAGCGGCGAGCGAACGGGGAGGAGCCCAGAGCCUGAAUCAGCAUGUGUGUUAGUGGAAGCGUCUGGAAAGUCGCGCGAUACAGGGUGACAGCCCCGUACACAAAAGCGCAUGUGUUGUGAGCUCGAUGAGUAGGGCGGGACACGUGGUAUCCUGUCUGAAUAUGGGGGGACCAUCCUCCAAGGCUAAAUACUCCUGACUGACCGAUAGUGAACCAGUACCGUGAGGGAAAGGCGAAAAGAACCCCGGCGAGGGGAGUGAAAAAGAACCUGAAACCGUGUACGUACAAGCAGUGGGAGCACCCUUCGGGGUGUGACUGCGUACCUUUUGUAUAAUGGGUCAGCGACUUAUAUUCUGUAGCAAGGUUAACCGAAUAGGGGAGCCGGAGGGAAACCGAGUCUUAAUUGGGCGUUAAGUUGCAGGGUAUAGACCCGAAACCCGGUGAUCUAGCCAUGGGCAGGUUGAAGGUUGGGUAACACUAACUGGAGGACCGAACCGACUAAUGUUGAAAAAUUAGCGGAUGACCUGUGGCUGGGGGUGAAAGGCCAAUCAAACCGGGAGAUAGCUGGUUCUCCCCGAAAGCUAUUUAGGUAGCGCCUCGUGAAUUCAUCUCCGGGGGUAGAGCACUGUUUCGGCUAGGGGGCCAUCCCGGCUUACCAACCCGAUGCAAACUGCGAAUACCGGAGAAUGUUAUCACGGGAGACACACGGCGGGUGCUAACGUCCGUCGUGAAGAGGGAAACAACCCAGACCGCCAGCUAAGGUCCCAAAGUCAUGGUUAAGUGGGAAACGAUGUGGGAAGGCCCAGACAGCCAGGAUGUUGGCUUAGAAGCAGCCAUCAUUUAAAGAAAGCGUAAUAGCUCACUGGUCGAGUCGGCCUGCGCGGAAGAUGUAACGGGGCUAAACCAUGCACCGAAGCUGCGGCAGCGACACUGUGUGUUGUUGGGUAGGGGAGCGUUCUGUAAGCCUGUGAAGGUGUGUCGUGAGGCAUGCUGGAGGUAUCAGAAGUGCGAAUGCUGACAUAAGUAACGAUAAAGCGGGUGAAAAGCCCGCUCGCCGGAAGACCAAGGGUUCCUGUCCAACGUUAAUCGGGGCAGGGUGAGUCGACCCCUAAGGCGAGGCCGAAAGGCGUAGUCGAUGGGAAACGGGUUAAUAUUCCCGUACUUGGUGUUACUGCGAAGGGGGGACGGAGAAGGCUAUGUUGGCCGGGCGACGGUUGUCCCGGUUUAAGCGUGUAGGUGUGUGUUCCAGGUAAAUCCGGUUCACUUUAACACUGAGGCGUGACGACGAGGCACUACGGUGCUGAAGCAACAAAUGCCCUGCUUCCAGGAAAAGCCUCUAAGCAUCAGGUAACAUCAAAUCGUACCCCAAACCGACACAGGUGGUCAGGUAGAGAAUACCAAGGCGCUUGAGAGAACUCGGGUGAAGGAACUAGGCAAAAUGGUGCCGUAACUUCGGGAGAAGGCACGCUGACACGUAGGUGAAGUGAUUUACUCAUGGAGCUGAAGUCAGUCGAAGAUACCAGCUGGCUGCAACUGUUUAUUAAAAACACAGCACUGUGCAAACACGAAAGUGGACGUAUACGGUGUGACGCCUGCCCGGUGCCGGAAGGUUAAUUGAUGGGGUCAGCGCAAGCGAAGCUCCUGAUCGAAGCCCCGGUAAACGGCGGCCGUAACUAUAACGGUCCUAAGGUAGCGAAAUUCCUUGUCGGGUAAGUUCCGACCUGCACGAAUGGCGUAAUGAUGGCCAGGCUGUCUCCACCCGAGACUCAGUGAAAUUGAACUCGCUGUGAAGAUGCAGUGUACCCGCGGCAAGACGGAAAGACCCCGUGAACCUUUACUAUAGCUUGACACUGAACAUUGAGCCUUGAUGUGUAGGAUAGGUGGGAGGCUUUGAAGCGUGGACGCCAGUCUGCGUGGAGCCG